AAGAGAAAGACCAAAAACAGAAAGUGUAAAGACACAGACACAGACAACUAAAAAGAAAAAAUCUAAACACAUAAAAAUAGCUGGAGAAAGCUCACGCCUCCCUUCAUCUUUCCAAAUCAAUUCCGUGAAUCUCCGGCUAACUUUACCCCGAUUGUCGGCGUCGAAGCAUGGAUCCAAGAGCUUGGGCGAGAAUCACUUUUGCAGUAACAAGUCUCACUACUGCCAUGAAUUCGACUCCAUUGAAGACUUCUUCUGCUCCCAGUUUGGCUUCAAUCCCAACAAUUCCAGGCUGAGCUCCGUAAAACUGAUACCACUGCCUCAAAUCAUGGAUUAGAUCAACACAAUACUCUAGGAUUUAAGACCAAGGAACUACAGCUACUGCACAAAAAAGACUUUCUUCAACCAAUGGAACUACAAUUUGGAGGGGAAUCUGAUAAUCUGCCUCAGCUAACUCUUUCAAGAGUGCAAUUAUCAACUGCUUCUCUCCUUCUCCCAGCACUACAUCAAUCAUCCCUUGUGCAUGUUGACCAUUAUGCACCAACUGUUCCUCCAUUAGUUCCCCAUUAUGUCGUGUUGCUAUUUUUUCUGUAUUGUCCUGCUCUGUAGUGCUAUAGAUGCUACUUGUGUCUCCCUCUCCCUUUCUUUGAUAAUUUGCAAAUGCAUUAG